rnacentral:lncRNA from 1 species
AAAAAAUAAGCUGACGAUCACUCUCUCCACUCUUCAUAAUUUCUGAGUUAAGUUUCAUUGUCUUGAGUGAAUAUUGUAGUGAGGUUGUUGCGCAUGCAGUUGGUUGAUUCUCUUCGUGUGCAUUGCGUACAAGGGGGAUGAUUUUGGUUGAGGAAGGUCUGUAAUCAUCUGAUCUUGUGUAGAUCGAGAGGUGUAAUGGUGUGGACUCUUGUAAACUACGAUUCUUGAGAUCAUAGUGCAAAGGGAGCAUUAGUCAACCUACGUAGAGAUUCAACAGAGAUACAGGUGGUGGUGGG